ensembl:lncRNA
AUGGAUUUCAAUGUUAAUUCUGACUUUCAGUUAAACUUGCUGUGGAAAAAGAGGGGAACAGAGAUAAUUGUUGCAACCCUGCCAUCCCAAGUGAAGGGUCGGAGCCUCUUCAUCCACCACACUGAUCUACGGUGUCUACGACCCCACCUGUGGUUGACAGGAGAGAUAAUUCAGGGAUUGCUGCAUCUCAGUGCCUUCACGUACAACGUGGUGGACACCAUUUACCUAAUGGAUUAUUACACCGCAGGUGUACUUUUAUUUGGUGACAGAGCUACUACACGUCGCCACACUUUACCUAAGGUAAACUUCGAUAACUUUGACGGAAUCCUGUCAUUUGUCCACGUGAACAAAAAUCACUGGAACAUGCUGUACAUUCAUGCAAAGUCUGGUACUGUGUACCAAAUGGAUCCCUCACCAGCAUCCUCUGAGCUUGAGGACUCUACCCAUGCGGCUCAGAGACUACAGGAAUACUUGAAGAUUAGAAAACAUCAGGGGAAAACUGACUGGGUGGAUGUGAAGUGGAAAGGAGGAGUGAUGCCCCACCCAGUGCAAAUGGAUGGUUGCAGCUGUGGUGUCAUUGUUGUUGAAAUGGCCAGAGCAGUGAUGGAAGCCUUCCCUGAGUUCCCCAAAAUGAACUUCUCAACAAAAAGGAGAGCCAUGGAAGAGGCGAGGAGAGAUAUGGCUCUCCAAGUCCUUGAAUCAUCAGGUAUACAAUGCAGUAUACAUCUUUUUUUGAAUAACUUAAAGGCAUUCCAAAUAUAUUCUGAUUAAGGGCCCAAUUUUGAGAAUGAUAUGGUAACAGAAUUGGUGAAUGUGAUUGGCGAAUGCAAUUUCCCUUAGCCACAGGCCUUGCCCAUAUCAGAGUCUCCACCGAUUACCUCUUGCGGGUUUAAAAAAAGGCACAUACCAUUUGCCGAUAAAAUCCCCAAAAUUGGGCCCUAAAUAUGUCAUGCAAAUACACUUUAUUUCAGUCUUUGAUGAGGAGACUUGUUCGAUGUGUGGAGCUGACAAGCCCCCUGGACAAGCACCUCCCGUUACAGACUGGGUGAGUUGUUGUGAGCAGCACAUACAUUUUGUAACGUAAUGUGACAUACAGUGUUGGUAGUAACUAGUAACAAAGUUAAUUAACAAAGAUAAUUCAAUUUUGAUAGCAAUAUGUAAAAAGGCCAAGAAAGUUGAAGGGGUUCAAUGUUCACAGAAAACUUUCUUUGAUUCAAACUUAACCUUUGCUAUAAUCUGCUGGUUUGGUGACCUGAGUCUAACAAACAAAAACAGGGUUUGUUCUACUCGGUCUAUCCUCAGAACAACGAGAGGCAAUGUUGAUAUUAUGACCAAAAGGGGGCGUGCCUCCGUGAAAUGCCGCAAGACAGCUGGGAGAUGUAGCCUAGGCCUACACCUUACGACUCGUACGGCCAGUUCCAUACAACUGGAUCGCGGCAUAACUGUCCUUCUCUUCCUUUCUUCAAAGCUCAUCUCAAGACCUUUCUGUUUAACUUCUCUCCCACUCCAAACACAUAGCUCUAUCCUCUAGACUAGAGGCUCCCUUUGUUUAGUUUAGUUUUUCUCUUUUUUUGUAUUGUUGUUUGUUUGUGGUUGUAUUUUCAUUUCCACUAUGUGAAGUGACCUUGGGUUUGAGAAGGGAGCUAUAUAAAUGGAAAUUAUUAUUAUCACUAUUAUUAUUAUUUACCUGUUUUGAAACCAAAUUGCCCCGUAAGGACAUUUCAGCUCAAUUAAAUUCACCUGGAGGGUCAGGUAACGCAAAAGUAACAAGUGACAUAAGGCAUUACUCCACACAAGUAACGUAAUGAAGUAACUUCCCCAAUGCUGGUGACAUACCACUUAAGCCUAAGUGUCCUACCAAGUGACAAAGUCAUGUACAUGAAUGAAUCAUUAAUUGUUUUUUCAAUUCAACAGAUCCAGUGUGAUAAUUGUGACCGGUGGUUCCAUAACCUUUGCGUGAACAUGGACCAAAAUAAGUUAAAGGAACUCAAGAAAAGGCAAUGGCUGUGUGUUUUAUGCCGAUGACAAGGUUGAGGAAAAUUGUGCCUCGUCCAAGUGCCAGGUUUUGUUUAGAAAUGGGAUUAAAAAAAACGUAAAAGGCGUGUUAACAUCAGAAGAUGUGGAAAGCAUGAAUGGGGAGGGGAGACACACACACACACACACACACACACACACACACACACACACACACACACACACACACACACACACACACACACACACACACACACACAUUUCCAUUUCAUCUAUUCUCUCUGGUUACAGCCAUAUACACUUUGAUAUUGGAUCCCUUCCACUUACUUUAACCCUAGGCUAUACCGUAAGGACUGAAGAUCAAUGCCUGAUUACCAAAAGAUUCUGUUGAGUCAGUGUAUAAAACACAACAGCUGCGUUGAUUGAGAAACGCUUUACACCAAUACUGUGCAUAGUCUGAUUCAUUGCCAUGGAUUGCAAGAAGGAAAUAUUACAGAAAGGUCUGAAGUUAAAAUAUAAUUUGCAAGUUCACAUAAUGAAGUGGGAAAACAAAUGAAGGUGUGUUUGAUUAGUAUAUCAUGAAUGGAAUUCUUAAAAUAUUUAAAGAAAAUUGGAGGUGCAAAAUAUUAAUUUUUAAGGAGGUGUGUGUUGUUAUUACCAUAUUGUAGGACAGGUCCACAUUGGUCUGGGGCCUCUGGGUCCCAUAACUCGGAAGCUAUUGAGCAAAAAGCAAUUUCCCAUAGGAAACUAAUGGGAUUCUUAAAAUAUUCAAAUAAAAUUGGAGGUGCAAAAUAUUAAUUUUUAGUGAGGUGUGUGUUGUUAUUACCAUAUUGUAGGACAGGUCCACAUUGGUCUGGGGCCUCUGGGUCCCAUAACUCGGAAGCUAUUGAGCAAAAAGCCGUUUUCCAUAGGAAAUGAAUGGGAUUCUUAAAAUAUUUAAAUAAAAUAGGAGGAGCAAAAUAUUAAUUUUUAGUGAGGUGUGUGUUGUUAGUACCACAUAGUAGGACAGGUCAACAUUGGUCUGGGGCCACUGGCUCCUAUAACUCGGAAGCUAUUGAGCAAAAAGCCGUUUUCCAUAGGAAAUGAAUGGGAUUUUUAAAAAAUUCAAAUAAAAUUGGAGGUGCAAAAUAUUAAUUUUUAGUGAGGUGUGUGUUGUAAGUACCACAUAGUAGGACAGGUCAACAUUGGUCUGGGGCCUCUGAGUCCUAUAACUCGGAAGCUAUUGAGCAAAAAGCAAUUUCCCAUAGGAAAUGAAUGGGAUUCUUAAAAUAUUUAAACAAAAUAGGAGGAGCAAAAUAUAAAUUUUUAGUGAGGUGUGUGUUGUUAUUACCACAUAGUAGAACAGGUCUAAAUUGGUCUGGGGCCUCUGGGUCCCAUAACUCGGAAGCUAUUGAGCAAAAAGCAAUUUCCCAUAGGAAAUGAAUGGGAUUCUUAAAAUAUUUAAAUAAAAUAGGAGGAGCAAAAUAUUAAUUUUUAGUGAGGUGUGUGUUGUUAGUACCACAUAGUAGAACAGGUAAACAUUGGUCUGGGGCCUCUGGGUCCUAUAACUCGGAAGCUAUUGAGCAAAAAGCAAUUUCCCAUAGGAAACUAAUGGGAUUCUUAAAAUAUUUAAAUAAAAUAGGAGGAGCAAAAUAUUAAUUUUUAGUGAGGUGUGUGUUGUUAGUACCACAUAGUAGGACAGGUCAACAUUGGUCUGGGGCCACUGGCUCCUAUAACUCGGAAGCUAUUGAGCAAAAAGCAAUUUCCCAUAGGAAACUAAUGGGAUUCUUAAAAUAUUUAAAUAAAAUAGGAGGAGCAAAAUAUUAAUUUUUAGUGAGGUGUGUGUUGUUAGUACCACAUAGUAGAACAGGUAAACAUUGGUCUGGGGCCUCUGGGUCCUAUAACUCGGAAGCUAUUGAGCAAAAAGCAAUUUCCCAUAGGAAAUGAAUGGGAUUCUUAAAAUAUUUAAAUAAAAUAGGAGGAGCAAAAUAUUAUUUUUUAGUGAGGUGUGUGUUGUUAGUACCACAUAGUAGGACAGGUCAACAUUGGUCUGGGGCCACUGGCUCCUAUAACUCGGAAGCUAUUGAGCAAAAAGCAAUUUCCCAUAGGAAACUAAUGGGAUUCUUAAAAUAUUUAAAUAAAAUAGGAGGAGCAAAAUAUUUAUUUUUAGUGAGGUGUGUGUUGUUAGUACCACAUAGUAGAACAGGUAAACAUUGGUCUGGGGCCUCUGGGUCCUAUAACUCGGAAGCUAUUGAGCAAAAAGCCGUUUUCCAUAGGAAAUGAAUGGGAUUCUUAAAAUAUUUAAAUAAAAUAGGGGGAGCAAAAUAUUAAUUUUUAGUGAGGUGUGUGUUGUUAGUACCACAUAGUAGGACAGGUCAACAUUGGUCUGGGGCCUCUGGGUCCUAUAACUCGGAAGCUAUUGAGCAAAAAGCCGUUUUCCAUAGGAAACGAAUGGGAUUCUUAAAAUAUUUAAAUAAAAUAGGAGGAGCAAAAUAUUAAUUUUUAGUGAGGUGUGUGUUGUUAGUACCACAUAGUAGGACAGGUCAACAUUGGUCUGGGGCCUCUGGGUCCUAUAACUCGGAAGCUAUUGAGCAAAAAGCAAUUUCCCAUAGGAAAUGAAUGGGAUUCUUAAAAUAUUUAAAUAAAAUAGGAGGAGCAAAAUAUUAAUUUUUAGUGAGGUGUGUGUUGUUAGUACCACAUAGUAGAACAGGUAAACAUUGGUCUGGGGCCUCUGGGUCCUAUAACUCGGAAGCUAUUGAGCAAAAAGCAAUUUCCCAUAGGAAACUAAUGGGAUUCUUAAAAUAUUUAAAUAAAAUAGGAGGAGCAAAAUAUUAAUUUUUAGUGAGGUGUGUGUUGUUAGUACCACAUAGUAGGACAGGUCAACAUUGGUCUGGGGCCUCUGGGUCCUAUAACUCGGAAGCUAUUGAGCAAAAAGCAAUUUCCCAUAGGAAAUGAAUGGGAUUCUUAAAAUAUUUAAAUAAAAUAGGAGGAGCAAAAUAUUAAUUUUUAGUGAGGUGUGUGUUGUUAGUACCACAUAGUAGAACAGGUAAACAUUGGUCUGGGGCCUCUGGGUCCUAUAACUCGGAAGCUAUUGAGCAAAAAGCAAUUUCCCAUAGGAAACUAAUGGGAUUCUUAAAAUAUUUAAAUAAAAUAGGAGGAGCAAAAUAUUAAUUUUUAGUGAGGUGUGUGUUGUUAGUACCACAUAGUAGGACAGGUCAACAUUGGUCUGGGGCCACUGGCUCCUAUAACUCGGAAGCUAUUGAGCAAAAAGC